GUGGGGAAUAUUGGACAAUGGGCGAAAGCCUGAUCCAGCCAUGCCGCGUGUGUGAAGAAGGUCUUCGGAUUGUAAAGCACUUUAAGUUGGGAGGAAGGGCAGUAAGUUAAUACCUUGCUGUUUUGACGUUACCGACAGAAUAAGCACCGGCUAACUUCGUGCCAGCAGCCGCGGUAAUACGAAGGGUGCAAGCGUUAAUCGGAAUUACUGGGCGUAAAGCGCGUGGAGGUGGUUUUGUAAGUUGGAGGUGAAAUCCCCGGGCUCAACCUGGGACAUGCAUCCAAAACUGCAUGACUAGAGUACGGUAGAUGGUAGUGGAAUUUCCUGUGUAGCGGUGAAAUGCGUAGAUAUAGGAAGGAACACCAGUGGCGAAGGCGACUACCUGGACUGAUACUGACACUGAGGUGCGAAAGCGUGGGGAGCAAACAGGAUUAGAUACCCUUGUAGUCC
rnacentral:rRNA from 1 species